GGCGCAGGCGGCCAGGUCAGUGGAAAGUGGAAGCCCGGGGCUCAACCUCGGAAGGCCUUUCCAUACUGCCUGGCUUGAGUAUGCGAGAGGAGAGCGGAAUUCCGGGUGUAGCGGUGAAAUGCUUAGAUAUCCGGAGGAACACCAAUGGCGAAAGCAGCUCUCUGGCGCAAUACUGACGCUGAGGCCCGAAAGCGUGGGGAGCGAACG
rnacentral:rRNA from 1 species